GCGCCUUAGCUCAGUUGGAUAGAGCAACGACCUUCUAAGUCGUGGGCCGCAGGUUCGAAUCCUGCAGGGCGCGCCA
rnacentral:tRNA from 1 species